rfam:Salmo salar isolate Sally breed double haploid chromosome ssa20, whole genome shotgun sequence.
UGCAUUCACUACUGUAAGUUGCUCUGGAUAAGAGUGUCUGCUAAAUGACUAUAA